rnacentral:rRNA from 1 species
GAUGAACGCUAGCGGCAGGCCUAAUACAUGCAAGUCGAACGGUGUAGCAAUACACAGUGGCGCACGGGUGCGUAACACGUAUGCAACCUACCUUACAUUGGGGGAUAGCCUUUCGAAAGGGAGAUUAAUACCGCAUAAGACAGUAACUAGGCAUCUAGUAGCUGUUAAAGAUUUAUCGAUGUAAGCUGGGCAUGCGUCCAAUUAGUUAGUUGGCGAGGUAAUGGCUCACCAAGACGAUGAUUGGUAGGGGAACUGAGAGGUCAAUCCCCCACACUGGCACUGAGAUACGGGCCAGACGCCUACGGGAGGCAGCAGUAGGGAAUAUUGGGCAAUGGGCGCAAGUCUGACCCAGCCAUGCCGCGUGCAGGAAGAAGGCGUUAUGCGUUGUAAACUGCUUUUAUACAGGAAGAAACGACCCUUGCGAGGGGCAUUGACGGUACUGUAUGAAUAAGCACCGGCUAACUCCGUGCCAGCCGCCGCAGUAAUAC